rnacentral:rRNA from 1 species
AAUCAACGCUGGCGGCGUGCCUCAGACAUGCAAGUCGAACGCGAAAGUUCCCUUCGGGGGAGUGAGUAGAGUGGCGCACGGGUGAGUAACACGUAGGUAAUCUACCUUUGGAUGGGGAAUAACAACCGGAAACGGUUGCUAAUACCGCAUAAUGCAGCGGCACCUAAUGGUGACAGUUGUUAAAGCGGGGGAUCGAAAGACCUCGCGUCUGAAGAGGAGCCUGCGGCGGAUUAGCAGUUGGUGAGGUAACGGCUUACCAAGGCGACGAUCCGUAGCCGGCCUGAGAGGGCGGUCGGCCACACUGACACUGACAUACGGGUCAGACUCCUACGGGAGGCAGCAGUCGGGAA